GCAAAACGCGAAGAACCUUACCUGGUCUUGACAUAGUAAGAACUUUCCAGAGAUGGAUUGGUGCCUUCGGGAACUUACAUACAGGUGCUGCGUGGCUGUCGUCAGCUCGUGUCGUGAGAUGUUGGGUUAAGUCCCGCAACGAGCGCAACCCUUUUCCUUAUUUGCCAGCGGGUUAAGCCGGGAACUUUAAGGAUACUGCCAGUGACAAACUGGAGGAAGGCGGGGACGACGUCAAGUCAUCAUGGCCCUUACGACCAGGGCUACACACGUGCUACAAUGGUCGGUACAAAGGGUUGCUACCUAGCGAUAGGAUGCUAAUCUCAAAAAGCCGAUCGUAGUCCGGAUUGGAGUCUGCAACUCGACUCCAUGAAGUCGGAAUCGCUAGUAAUCGCGGAUCAGAAUGCCGCGGUGAAUACGUUCCCGGGUCUUGUACACACCG
rnacentral:rRNA from 1 species